rnacentral:rRNA from 1 species
UACGUAGGUGGCAAGCGUUGUUCGGAAUUAUUGGGCGUAAAGAGCGCGCAGGCGGUCGAUCAAGUCGAGUGUGAAAGCCCCCGGCUCAACUGGGGAGGGUCAUUCGAUACUGAUCGACUCGAAGGCAGGAGAGGGUAGUGGAAUUCCCGGUGUAGUGGUGAAAUGCGUAGAUAUCGGGAGGAACACCAGUGGCGAAGGCGACUACCUGGCCUGUUCUUGACGCUGAGGCGCGAAAGCUAGGGGAGCAAACGGG